CUAAGCGAUCCUACAUUCCGUCGUCGUCGGUGUCGUCGUCGGCGUCGUCCACAAAUAUUCACUCUGUGGUUAAAGUUUUUGAAAUUUUAAUAACUUUCUUAAACUAUACUGCCUUUCUACCAAACUUGGACAGAAGCUUGUUUAUGAUCAUAAGAUAGUAUCCAGAUGUAAAUUUUGUAAAAAUAAAAUUCCAUUUUUUCUGUAUUUUACUUAUAAAUGGACUUAGUUUUU
rnacentral:lncRNA from 1 species